GCCUUUAGGUUCGGAAUAACUCAGGGAAACUUGUGCUAAUACCGAAUGUGCCCUUCGGGGGAAAGAUUUAUCGCCUUUAGAGCGGCCCGCGUCUGAUUAGCUAGUUGGUGAGGUAAAGGCUCACCAAGGCGACGAUCAGUAGCUGGUCUGAGAGGAUGAUCAGCCACAUUGGGACUGAGACACGGCCCAAACUCCUACGGGAGGCAGCAGUGGGGAAUCUUGCGCAAUGGGCGAAAGCCUGACGCAGCCAUGCCGCGUGAAUGAUGAAGGUCUUAGGAUUGUAAAAUUCUUUCACCGGGGACGAUAAUGACGGUACCCGGAGAAGAAGCCCCGGCUAACUUCGUGCCAGCAGCCGCGGUAAUACGAAGGGGGCUAGCGUUGCUCGGAAUUACUGGGCGUAAAGGGAGCGUAGGCGGACAUUUAAGUCAGGGGUGAAAUCCCGGGGCUCAACCUCGGAAUUGCCUUUGAUACUGGGUGUCUUGAGUAUGAGAGAGGUGUGUGGAACUCCGAGUGUAGAGGUGAAAUUCGUAGAUAUUCGGAAGAACACCAGUGGCGAAGGCGACACACUGGCUCAUUACUGACGCUGAGGCUCGAAAGCGUGGGGAGCAAACAGGAUUAGAUACCCUGGUAGUCCACGCCGUAAACGAUGAUUGCUAGUUGUCGGGAUGCAUGCAUUUCGGUGACGCAGCUAACGCAUUAAGCAA
rnacentral:rRNA from 1 species